CGGCUCGGUUCGGAGCUCAAGCGGUGACACAGUUUCCACGGAACACUCUGGCGGAAAUGUUGUAGAACCAACCCCGACGAUGUGCUAUCAUGAUAUCUGGUCCUCGCCGUCCAUAAACCGUGAGAUGCUUCUUUUUUACAGUUUCCAAAAUUCUGGAUCCAGUGACUACAUUAUUGCAGUGAUCUCUUUAUGUAAGUGAUUUGCAUUCUUUAUAGGUGUUUGUAAGAGAAGUAUUCUGAUUUCAUUUGUCAGUAGAUUGUUAUGUUGUAUUUGGAUGUUGAAGCUUGACUGACUGUCUUUGAUUUGAUUGUCUCCUGAUAUUUAAAAGGCAAUUGCUCAUUAAACUCCCAUUUUACCUGAUGCGCUUUUCUGAACUAAUAGAAUGCCAACUAAAAACCUAUUCUAUUCUAUUCUAUUCUAUUCUAUUCUGUUCUGUUCUGUUCUGUUCCUUUCUAUUCCCGUAGUUAUUUAUAUACUGUAGCUGUUAUAAUCGUGUAUACACACACAGGUAUUCCCCUCUUUAAUUCUAAAUAAGAAGUGUGACUUCCUCUAAAUGAAGCAUAUUAUACAGGCCUAAAUGUGUUUCUGUCUUCACAGUUUAUUAACUCCAUAUUGAGACAGCACUGUUUAAUCACACAAAAUCUGUUCGUGAAAUUGUCACGUUUUUUUGCUGAAUACAAAAGACGGCAUUGAAUCUUAGAAAUGAAUGUGCUAUUAUAGUGUCUCAGCAGAUAUGACAGCUUCUUUUGUAGAGCAUCCAAACACUUCCAUCCCAUCACAAUGCACAUGCAAAGAAGACAGAGGAAGCCAAUUCAUCCGAGCGCCUGGUAAUCGGUGAUGCCGCUGUUCAUUUGUCUCAAGUGUCAUGUGUAGGACCACAUUCUGGCACAAGCAGAUGCUUUUCAUUUUGUUACAUUUCACGUUGAACUGUGCACAUUUGCUCUCUCAGGCUCCUUUUCGGUGGUAAACUUUACAAGACUAGAAACAAAAUGUGUUUUAUGAGGGUCUUUAUUAAGUCAUCGAUUAUCAGUCACAUGCUGGGUUGUACAACAAGACUUAAAUGUUUUAAAACAAGACUUGUAUAUUGGUUUGCAGGUUGUGUCUCCAAACCUGAUUGAAUGGGGUUUUGGAACAGAGCAGCUUAAACCAGAUAAGACCAGCAAAUGAAAUUAGUAUAAACUGCUUUUUAUCUAGAGAUAGAAAUUGGUUUAAAAAGAAGAGAUAAAGAAUAGUUAGGAGAUGAUUUGUAAAAUGUUAAGGAACUGGAAUGUCCCCAAAACAAUUUAUGUGUGUACUUUCCAGUAGUUGCGAUAUUUUAUUUGAUGCCACUUUAAGAGAGACUCACCAAAGGAUGCUAAGUGAAUGGCAGUGAAUGGGUGCCAUUGGAAUUGGAGACCAAACAGGGGAUAAAAAAACAGAACAAUAAUGCACAAGAAAUAAAUCCAGUCAGUCGAACAACUUCUUGUGACUUUAAAUCAGGCCUUUUGACCAAAAUACGAGUCCAUAAUCCACAAUAAUGCUUCCUCCAGAAAAAUCUCUGUUGUCAUUUCACUUAAAAAUCUACAGGCAUAUUUGUUUAUAACGUUUUUUGCUUGAUCUGUCCAUAUUAUUCUCUUGAUUCAGAUGACUUUGACUGGAUGACUGGAGCCAGGCAUUAACCGAUGGACCGGAGUUGUGUGAAAACUCAUUCUGACGGCACCCAUCCACUGCAGGCUAUCCACUGAUGAGCGAGUAAUGUAAUGCAAAAUUUCUCCAUAUAUGUUCUGAUGAAGAAAUAAACCCAUCUACAUAUUGCUUGCUCUGAGGGCGAGAAAUGUAUUUAAUAUACAGUUCAGCAUUAAAGUUGUUAUACUUGUUUACAAGCAUAUGUGUGCCCAUGCAUGUUGGUUUGCACCCUGAAAUGUCCUUGGCAUUUACUCUCUCUCUCUCUCUCUUUCUCUCGCCGAGUGUCUCUGAAUCAGCAGGGAUGAGGCCGUGGGUCUCUCACGUGACCGUGCUGCAGGACAGAGCUGGAGGUGGAAGCCAGGCUGUCUGGACAGUGGCUGAAAUCUGAUGACAGCCGCUGAGAGCAGUAAAAAGCGACUGAGGCUGCUGUUGAAUUGGAGUGUGGAUGGUGAUGACAUUGCAUAUCAAUUACCGACCAACACUUUCAUCCGUCUCUGUUUGGGUUUACAGCACUUGGCAACACGCAUGGAGAAUGUCCCACUCCAACAGACACCUGAUACGGGAAUGAGAGCUGUCAAUCACCUGUCUGCAUAUAAACUACCUGAGCUCGGAGAUAUGAUGCUGCGCUGAGUGAAAUAAUGAUGCAAAAGGACCGUCGAGUUCCCUGACACGAAGCCUAGAAAGGGGCUUCUUCGUUCAUAUCCAAAAAUGAUCAUUUUGAUGGAUAAAGAUUGGAAACACAACAUUUAUCUGAAGUUAAACCUUCUACCUGACAGGAAGUGCAUGCUUCCAUCCGCUGCUGUACUGAAUGAAGGUCAAACUUGUUACCUAAGUUCUUCCACGAUCAGAGGAUAAAGUUACGAGCCGAUAUAUCUGGAAGCUGUGGCGCAGGCCUCGGAAUGGACCCGUGGAACAGUUAAAGGGCUGACUGCAGCCUGCCAUCUGUGCACAACCAGAAGCGUGAGCUCUCCAGAGAUCAGAGCCAGACGGUGGAAACCACAGCAGCAGCGAAGCAGGACUGAAUGUGUCCAGUGAAGCUUUCGGAGCGGUAAAAACUCCCAAACAUUGCUUAAAAUGAAAUAAACCAAUCACCGGAGGGGUUUUGGAAAAAUUAAUCGAACGAAUCCAUUUGAACGAAUCGUUUUGGAGUCAUCGAAAAAAAAAGAUCUGUUGAGCUUUCACUCUGAGAUGAUGAACUAGACGACACGAUUAAAUCGCUGUCAACUACACGUCCAGGCCAGCCAGCAGUCAGCCGGCACAAGAGAGCCAUACACUGACGGAGGUCCAGCUCAAGACUGAUGGAUUCAAAAGCAUCAGUGUGAUUCAUGUGAACAUUACGAAAAAGAAAGAAAUUUAAUCUCAUAUACACGUCAGUCGUUGUAUAAAUACAUAGCCCUGCACCUUGUGAAAGAUUUCUGUUGAUUUGAAAAAAGGGCUAAUAUUGCCAAAUUUUUCACUAUGAUUUUUAUAUUAUGUAGACAAAUAUGUUAUCAAGGAAUCAUUUACAUACAAUUGAAAAUGGGCUGAAAAUAUGCUUAACCUCAGGCCAUUAUGUGUUUCCAUGGUUACUGUUGUAACCAUUGUAAAUAUAGCGUUUCCAUGGUUACUGCUGUAAACAAAUGAUGUGUUUCCAUGGUUACUGCUGUAACAGUUGUGAACAAAUCAUAGUGUUUCCAUGGUUACCGUUGUAAACAAAUUAUGUGUUUCCAUGGUUACUGCUGUAACCGUUGUAAACGAAUAAUAGUGUUUCCGUGAUUAACACUGUAAACAAAUUAUAUGUGUCCAUGGUUACCAUUGUAAACAAAGGAUGUCUUUCCAUGAUUACUGCUAUAACUGUUGUAAUCAAAUCAUAGCGUUUCCAUGGUUACUGCAGUAUUUCCAUGGUUACGGCUGUAAACAAAUUAUGUGUUUCCAUGGUUACUCCUAUAACUGUUGUAAACAAAUCAUAGCGUUUCCAUGGUAACUGUCGUGUUUCCAUGGUUAUGACUGUAAACCAAUGAUGUGUUUCCAUGGUUACUCAUAUAAUCGUUGUAAACAAAUCAUAGCGUUUCCAUGGUUACUGCUGUAAACAAAUGUGUUUCCAUGGUUACUUCUGUAAAUAAAUGAUGUGUUUCCGUGA